rnacentral:rRNA from 1 species
CAGCAGCCGCGGUAAUACGAAGGGUGCAAGCGUUACUCGGAAUUACUGGGCGUAAAGCGUGCGUAGGUGGUGGUUUAAGUCCGUUGUGAAAGCCCUGGGCUCAACCUGGGAAUUGCAGUGGAUACUGGGUCACUAGAGUGUGGUAGAGGAUAGUGGAAUUUCCGGUGUAGCAGUGAAAUGCGUAGAGAUCGGAAGGAACAUCUGUGGCGAAGGCGACUAUCUGGGCCAACACUGACACUGAGGCACGAAAGCGUGGGGAGCAAACAGGAUUAGAUACCCUGUAGUCCCUGUCUCUUAUACC